UGUGCAGAAGUUCAGUUGGUGAAUAAAUUAAAAGUCUGGUUGCGGGUUCGACUCCCGCCUGCACAA
rnacentral:tRNA from 1 species